UAUGUGAUCGUCUCUCGCAUAUCAAUAAGCGGAGGAAAAGAAACUAACAAGGAUUCCCCUAGUAACGGCGAGUGAAGCGGGAAGAGCUCAAAUUUGAAAUCUUAAAGGGUUUCCCUUUACGAAUUGUAGUUUAAAGAAGUGUUUUCUGUUGAGGUUUUGGUAAAAGUUCUUUGGAAUAGGACAUCAUAGAGGGUGAGAAUCCCGUAUUUGACCUUUACUUUCAACUUUGUGAUACACUUUCAAAGAGUCGGAUUGUUUGGGAAUGCAGUCCAAAAUGGGUGGUAAAUUUCAUCUAAAGCUAAAUAUUGGCGAGAGACCGAUAGCGAACAAGUACCGUGAGGGAAAGAUGAAAAGAACUUUGAAAAGAGAGUUAAACAGUACGUGAAAUUGUCAAAAGGGAAGCGUUUGACACCAGUGUUGUUUUUCUGAAAAUCAAUUAAAGAACUGUUUAUGCUAAGUUGUUUAGACUUUAUCAGCUAACUGUUUAGUUUUGAGCUUUUCUUUAAUGCACUUUUCAGUUAACAAGUCCAACAUCAAUUUCUUUUGCUGUAAAAAAGCUUGAGGAAGGUGGCUUGAGAUUCGUCUUAAGUGUUUAUAGCCUCUUGCCUAUGCAGUCGGAGAGAUUGAGGUCUGCAGCGUAGAUCCUUCGGGGCUAAAUGCAUUUGUGCUAAGUUAUAGCAUUUUAUAGACAACUUGUUGACUAUGAUUUAGUCUUGUAGCUUACUCGCUUAUGUUAUUUUACCUACGCUUAGGAUGUUGAUCUACAGAGCGAGAGU
rnacentral:rRNA from 1 species